rnacentral:piRNA from 1 species
UGGGAACAUGUGUUUAUUAGCCAGGUGGGC